UACUCGCGGUCCAAGUCGCAGCCAUCUUUAUUGGGUCUAAAACAUCCGUAGCUUGCUUAGCAAGUUCCUUGUGAAAUCCUAUGUCUCAAAUAUAGGGCGGGCAAGGAGUACUAUUAAGCUAGAGACUGGAAGACGUAAGAAGUAUGUUCAAAGUAGCGGUAAAAUGUGUUAAUCUUGAACAGACUAACAAUAGCGAAGGCAUCUUACGAGGACAGUUCUGACAGUAAGGGAUGAAGGCUAGGGGCGCAAAACGGAUUAGAUACCCGUGUAGUCCUAGCAGUAAACACUGCACACUAAACAUUAGUACCUCUUCGAGAGGUAUUAGUGCUGAAGGGAAGCCGAAGAGUGUGCUACCUGGGAAGUAUAGUCGCAAGGCCGAAACUUAAAGGAAUUGGCGGGGAGACACUACAACGAGUGACGCGUGCGGUUCAAUUAGAUUCUACACCGUGAACCUCACCAGGAGCGACAGCAGAAUGAAGGUCAGUCUAAAGGGCUUACCUGACACGCUGAGCGGAGUUGCAUGGCCGACGUCAGCCUGUGCCGUGAGGUGACCUGUUAAAUCAGGUAACAGGCAAGACCCACAUCUAUAUUUACUAAGUGUACAAUAUAGAGAUUGCUGUGGUAACGCAGAUGAAAGUGUGGGCUACGUUAGGUGAGUACAGCCCUAAUCCCCUGGGCGACACGCGCGCGUCAAUGGUGGAUACAACGGGAUGCAACACUGAAAAGUGAAGCUAAUCUCUUAAAGUCCAUCUUAGUUUAGAUCGAGGUUUGUAACUCAGCCUCGUGACACUGGAAUUCGUAGUAAUCGUUUGUUGUCAACGAACGGUGAAUAUGUCACUGUCUCU
rnacentral:rRNA from 1 species